UCGUGGACAACCUUCUGUUCAAGCUGC
rnacentral:piRNA from 1 species